UGCUUUUGACAGCUAUUUCCCUCGAGCAACCCGGAGUGGAGUUGGUUGAUCAACUCUUGAAGUUUUUCUAAGAGAGAUAAGCACUGCUACCCCUACUAGGCCACAAGUCUGCGAAAAAUGAACCUGGUGCUGGCUACUGGCUUUGUGCAGGCUUAUCAGUAUGAGCAAGAAGUGAUCUGGUGUAACCUACACCAGCAGGGUCUUCAGGACAGUGAGAUGCCAAGAAAAUAUUUUGUUCCUGUGGCCACUGUGAACAAUAGCUGUUCUGAGAGAGUGAUUUUUUUUUGGUUUUUUGUUUUUUUUUUUCAACUGGAAAGUGAAUGAAACAAAGUACCCAACAAUGCUCUGAACAACAGGAUAUUGCUUUGAACAACUGAACAACUGCUGCUGUUUUGCUUUGGGAAACUAAAAGUCAGAUGAAAAAGCCUGGGGCUGAGCAAUACCUGUAAAAUAGCUACUCACAACGAUUUUACCAGCUAUUGUAGCUGGAGUGAGCAUCUUGCUGACAGGUGGAAGGAGAAAAUAACUUGAAAGAGCAUGUGGAGCGCUCUGAAAUGUUGCUGCCCCUUCUGGACCAUGCAUCAGGGAUGCUUUGUGCUUCUACUUUAAGGUGAGAUGCGCUGCUUGUGACCUGUAUGGCUGUUUGGGGAUAAGGCAAUCAAUCACAGUUGCUGCAUGUGUGUCAGUGUAGCUGUGUAAGGACUUUUCUCCUGUUUUAUUUGGAAAUGGGUUUAUGAUAUUAAUGGUUGGAAGUUAAACAAAUUACUUGACAGUCAGCCACAAGUGUAAAAGCAAUUGUUUAAGCAAAGUGAACAGUAACAAACAUGCCAGUUGAAACGUGGAGGGUGUUACCGAACACUUAAUGUGCAAAGUUGAAAUCAGUUAAAAGGUGAAAAGCUAAAUGCAGCAGGUGUAAUCAGUGUGAUCAGCUUGUUCUUUUGAAGCCACUUUGUAGCGCAUAAAGGAUCAAAAGGGAAAAACAUGGUGUUUGGGGAAGUAGGGCAGUCCAGAAGGAUUCGUCCCAUUCUAUGUGAGAGGGUUAAGGGAUCUGUCUGGGUUUUUUGUUCUCUGUUGGCCUGUAAAUACCUGAAAACAGGCUGAAAGAGGCCCUUUCUUGAAGUGAGUGAUGUGACCUAAAUGCAGAUUUAUCGGUGGUGGAGUAUAGCAUGGUUCAGGCCCUGACCACAGAAACACCUUGUUCUCUGCAUUAUCUGCGUCUUGGCCAGCCCUGCAACCAGCGUCUGUAAGGCUCUGUCCAUUUCCCGUCUCGUCUUCCUCCUUCUGUCAGCAUUCAGGAACCUCUCUGUCCCCUCCGCCUCGGAUGGGGACAAUGCACUGGGACACCUCACCUCUUGAAGUCCCUUUCCUCUGAUCAGGCAGCUGGUGGUGCUUGCAACGCUUUGGCUGCCAAGGUGAAAAAGGCCAAAUCAGUAUGACAAACACUUGUGUGAAUGGCAGGCGUUAUGCCAGCAGCGAUGAAAUGGUUUCUUCUCCCGGCUAUUCCCUCCUUGAUUUUGGGGGAAAUCCAUCCCUCUGGACCCUGCUGGUGUUGAGAAAUUUAGUCAUUUCCAAAAUACCCCCCUUCUAGAUGGAGCUUCUGAGCCAGUGCUGAGGGGGAAGGGAAGUGAAGAAAGGGUUAGCGAAGGCCCAGGGCCGGGAGAGCUCCCGGAGGCCGGGUGAGGAGGGGGAGCAGAAGGGUGCUAGUGCCCUGCUGGUAGCCGGCAAGCUCAUGCCGCUUUUUGAGAAAGAGCGGCAAAACGCAAGCUGGCCAUUGCCGGAAGUCCCCAUCACAGCUCCCUUUCCCUCCAGAGAGGAGUAUUUCGAAAUGAGUCCCUUCCCCCACUCCGCCCCCCCCCCCC